rnacentral:rRNA from 1 species
GACGAACGCUGGCGGCGUGCCUAACACAUGCAAGUCGAACGGAACUGUUUUGAAAGAUUUCUUCGGAAUGAAUUUGAUUUAGUUUAGUGGCGGACGGGUGAGUAACGCGUGAGUAACCUGCCUUCAAGAGGGGAAUAACAUUCUGAAAAGAAUGCUAAUACCGCAUGACAUAUCGGAACCACAUGGUUUUGAUAUCAAAGAUUUUAUCGCUUGAAGAUGGACUCGCGUCCGAUUAGUUAGUUGGUGAGGUAACGGCUCACCAAGACCGCGAUCGGUAGCCGGACUGAGAGGUUGAACGGCCACAUUGGGACUGAGACACGGCCCAGACUCCUACGGGAGGCAGCAGUGGGGGAUAUUGCGCAAUGGGGGCAACCCUGACGCAGCAACGCCGCGUGAAGGAUGAAGGUUUUCGGAUUGUAAACUUCUUUUAUUAAGAACGAAAAAUGACGGUACUUAAUGAAUAAGCUCCGGCUAACUACGUG